AAGGCUUAAGAAAAAGGUAAAUCCUAAAAUUAGUUUAUGCAAUUGAUUUUAGUUUUCCAAAUCAAAGCUUGGAUUUAUGUUUCUAAACUCAAAAACCUUAGAUAUAUGUGUUAAUGAGUGUUUCAUGUUUAGAUAUAACCAUAUUGGGUGUUGAUUUGGUGGGAAUCAAAAUUUCUAUAUACUUUGAAAUUUCACCGUUUUAAAUCUAAAAUUCAUUUUUGAGAUCCGUCAAAGAGGGGUGCUAGAUAUAUGUGCUUAGUAGUUAACCCAAGUGGUAGAACUCAAAAAUCACGUUUCUAAAAGUCGUCGUGUUGAUUUAUGUGAAAACAGUCCCGUUUCUAGGAACUGUUUUGGAUCAGUCCGUAGCAGGGGCAUUUUCGUCCCCUUUUUGUGCUUUAUAAAUUCUGGAAAAAAUUUGGGGUGUUAAUAUCAGUAGAUAUGCAGGUUGUGUAAAAAUUUGAAAAUUUUUGGCUGUACGGUUUGAGAGAUAUGGAUUUUACGGUGAAGGACCCCAAAACUGUUUUUUUUGGCCAAAAAGUUGCUGCCACAAAAAGGAAAUUUCGGGGUUAUCUAGCUUGCUCUAAAAAUUCUGGGCUUUUGGUAUGUUAUAGUACACUCAAUAAGCUUUCCAUAGACUCCAAAACGGACUAAAUCCGACAUCGGAGGAGAGAGUUAUGAAAUUUCUCCCAAACUACUCAAAGGUAAGAAAAACUGUUAGAGCAACAGUUUUUAACAGCCACUUCCGGGCUAAUUUCCGGGAGCUUAACAUGUCCAAAUAUGGAUUGUGAUAGAUGAAAACUGUAGUUCGGAAAGAUACGAAUCCAACAAAAUUGACGGAUCAUUAAUCGGAGUUAUAGAUUUCAUUUUAUUUAAGUUUUGGUAAAAAACUCCAAAACUGCAUAUGUGCAAAAGUAAACUGCCAAAAAUUUUCCGGAGGCUGUUUUGGUAAUUUAUUUUGUGAGAAAAAUUCCGGGCUUUCGGGAAAUGAAAAUAUGUGGUAUUAUGUAGCUUGUGUCCAAAAAUGAGCUAAUUCCGAGUUAAAAAGGCCAAGUUAUGACUAUUCUAAUUUUUGUGAUUUUCCGACGGAAAUCGCUAUAACCGGAGUUCUACAACUCCGAUUGCCACGAAAUUUAAAAUGGAGCAUCACGUUAACAUAUAUAAGGUUAUGUCAAAAGAUGGGCAUCUCUGGAGUUAAGCACGAGGUAGCUAAUUUUCUUAAGUCACGCACUAAUUAUGAUUUUUGAAAAAUAGUAAAAGAAAUUAAAAAAUUACGGAAAAAAUAUUUUUUAUGUAUGAAAUACAUGUAUAUAUGUUUGACCAAUGGAUAAAAAAAUAAUAAGUUGAUUUAGUAUUUUUCGUGAAAAAGAAUAGUGAUUUCGGGAUACUGAAAUAAAAUCCGUCUUACUGAAAUUGUAUUUCGGUUUACUAAGAUGUUAUCUAAUUUAUUAGGAUAACAUAUAAAAAUGAAUAACUUAUAAGUACAAGUUAUGAUGUGAUUAAAAGAAUAUCAAAGUAUAAUAAUAAUAUUAAGACUUAAAACUAAUGUCUAAUACUUAACUAUAUGUUAUGACUAACCGAAAGAUCUAUUAUAGGUUUUAUAUGCUGUAUAGACUGAUAGGAUUAUGUGUUUAAGUUAUUUUAUAAUGGUGAUGAUAUUAUUCUAAUAUUGAAGAUCUAUAUUAUUAAUAUUAGGUCUUCAGGAGAAGCUUAUUAUAUUGUGUUACGGUAAUCAAUGGUUCAGGCAAGUUUUUCAAGUUCUUUUUACUUAAACUCUUUUAAGAGUGGUUUCAGACAGAUAUUCUUAUGAAUUGUACUCUGUACAUCUUGCAUGUAUAAGUCGGGUACGAAAGGCUGAUCACCUUCAUUACCAGUUGGUCCAGAUAUACUAUUGUUCCUGUUCAAUACUUGUUCAGUCAAAACUUUGUUCAUGCUAAUUCACAAAUACAUUGUGAAGGAUAGCCAGCUUAUUAUUCAAACUCUUUCAAUCAUGAUAUAUCUUUACCUUGUUUUUAAACUUGCUAGGCAACUUUCAUGCUCACCCUUGC
rnacentral:lncRNA from 1 species